GAGAUGUUAGUAAAACAAUUACAUAGCCUUGUCAAGGCUGUAUUACAGGUGAAACCCCAGUACAUCUCAACAACCAAA
rnacentral:tRNA from 1 species